CACAAAUGUCAUGAACAGAAGAGAAAUUAUUUUUAUAGUAACAGUUUCAGCCGUGGCAUCUUUCGCCGGCACCAUGUACGAUAGCUUCGGUAAACGACCGGGACCCUGAAUAUCAAUAUGGCCCGGAUUGCCUACUCAACCUGAUAUUCAUAUCUUCAUAACUACCACAAUGAACCACAUACGAAGCAAAACAGAACCAUGAUCCAUCAAAACUAGCGUUUUCAAGUUUCUCCAAAGGUCCGAGCCCCAAAAAUCAUGCAUCCGUAUAAACUAGACUGCCCCAAACCAACGCGCCUCUGGCAUUUAACCGGCAAGAAACACUUCUGGGGCAUUCUCAAGGACCGCCAUGCUGCCGUCAAACAUACACAUGCACCUUUAGUACGCAAAGACUUACUCACUCUACUAGGCAUCUCCUUGCUAGCAACUGCGGGGUACUUGUACAUGUACGGGAUCUUCUCCCCCCCGGCUAAACCUCCGCAGAAAGAGUGCACGCCAGACCCGCGUCCUACGGUGCCUUGUCCGAGAAAAUAUCCGUGCAAUGAUUAAGAAAAUGACGGAGAAACACUUUAGAUUACAUCAAAAAUAAAUAGAACAUUAGUUAUGAAAUAAAUCUUUUAAAAUUGUA